rnacentral:rRNA from 1 species
UACGUAGGGUGCAAGCGUUGUUCGGAAUUACUGGGCGUAAAGGGCUCGUAGGCGGCCAACUAAGUCCGACGUGAAAUCCCCAGGCUUAACCUGGGAACUGCGUCGGAUACUGGAUGGCUUGAAUUCGGGAGAGGGAUGCAGAAUUCCAGGUGUAGCGGUGAAAUGCGUAGAUAUCUGGAGGAAUACCGGUGGCGAAGGCGGCAUCCUGGACCGACAUUGACGCUGAUGAGCGAAAGCUAGGGGAGCAAACGGG